rnacentral:rRNA from 1 species
UACGUAGGGUGCAAGCGUUAAUCGGAAUUACUGGGCGUAAAGCGUGCGCAGGCGGUUUUGUAAGUCUGUCGUGAAAUCCCCGGGCUCAACCUGGGAAUGGCGAUGAAGACUGCAAGGCUAGAAUCUGGCAGAGGGGGGUAGAAUUCCACGUGUAGCAGUGAAAUGCGUAGAGAUGUGGAGGAACACCGAUGGCGAAGGCAGCCCCCUGGGUCAAGAUUGACGCUCAUGCACGAAAGCGUGGGGAGCAAACAGG